GUCACUGUUUGUGAACUGUCCUACAGAUCAAAACAGGAGCUCCUUGCCGUAGUGAGCGGCUGGCCAAGUACAAUCAGCUUUUGCGUAUCGAAGAGGAGCUUGGGAAUGUCCGCUAUGCUGGUGAAGCUUUCAGAUCCCUGUAGAAAGACUUGAGCAAAUUUAAUGUUGUUAAUGGAAAUAAGAUUGGAUCAAAUGUAUGUUUAGCAAGAAAGUUAGAAUAUUUUUGUAGUAGUCAGCUUAGAUGCAAUUACAAGGGGCAUCUGUUGAUUUGAGAGUGUCAGCCAUUAGGUUCUGUAUUUGCAGAAUAAUCGAUUCUAUCGAAAAUAGGAAAUCUUGUUCAUGUAUCUCUGCUUAAAUGUAUCCAAAUCCAUUCUUGGGCCAAGAUGCAAUUCUGCCUAUUUAACUCUCAAGCUUUCUGUGAAUUUUAUUUGAUGGAUAAGCAACAUCUAAUGAGGGAUUGAGUUUUAGUUUGCUA